GAGAAAGUUUGCGUGGUUUGUAUAGAAGAUCAAACCAGCCAAAACCUUCUGUUAAACCGAAGUCUAAUCUAGAGCAUAACCCUAACUGUCUUUAAUUCUGUGAAGGCUGAGAGAAGUGAGAAAGCUGUAGAAGAAAAAAUUGAAGAAAGCAGAUGUUGCUCCAUGAGGUUUAAGUAAAGAGACCACCAUAUCCAUACCAUAAAAAUGCAAGGCAAAGCAGCAAGUGUUGGGGUAGAAGCUGAAGUGAGUUAUCAAGAAGAUCUAGGUAGCCAAGGUAUCAAGUUGCCCGAUAACUGUUUCAGUUAUGAUACGAUCUAUGGACCCUAUGGCUGGCAGCAGAUGAAAGUGUGAAGUCCAGAGUUUCAAAUCAUGUCAGAUGAAGAAUCAACAGUGCAAGCUUUUGUAGAAUGGGUGAUAACUUUCAGG
rnacentral:lncRNA from 1 species